UCUCCGUUGGUGAACCAGCGGAGGGAUCAUUACAGGACUCGCAAGACUCCUACAACCCUGUGAACUUAACUAUAAGCACGUUGCUUCGGCGGGUGUCUCGGAGGGGGUUCUCCCUCCCCGAGACGCUAAACCCGCCGGCAGCCUGCUAUACUCUGUCUCUUUGCGUUGGCAUCUCGAGUACAAUCAAACAAGUUAAAACUUUCAACAACGGAUCUCUUGGUUCUG
rnacentral:misc_RNA from 1 species